rnacentral:rRNA from 1 species
GAUGAACGCUGGCGGCGUGCUUAACACAUGCAAGUCGAACGAAGCAUUUAAGACAGAUUACUUCGGUUUGAAGUCUUUUAUGACUGAGUGGCGGACGGGUGAGUAACGCGUGGGUAACCUGCCUCAUACAGGGGGAUAGCAGCUGGAAACGGCUGGUAAUACCGCAUAAGCGCACAGUACCACAUGGUACAGUGUGAAAAACUCCGGUGGUAUGAGAUGGACCCGCGUCUGAUUAGCUUGUUGGCGGGGUAACGGCCCACCAAGGCGACGAUCAGUAGCCGACUUGAGAGGGUGACCGGCCACAUUGGGACUGAGACACGGCCCAGACUCCUACGGGAGGCAGCAGUGGGGAAUAUUGCACAAUGGAGGAAACUCUGAUGCAGCGACGCCGCGUGAGUGAAGAAGUAGUUCGCUAUGUAAAGCUCUAUCAGCAGGGAAGAUAGUGACGGUACCCGACUAAGAAGCUCCGGCUAAAUACGU